CUCAUAAUUAACUGUUUUGUUUGUUCUUUGUGUGUGUGUAUUUUGUAUCGAAACAAACAACAACAUCUGAAUAAAGGGAAAAGCGGCCUGAAUAUUUCUUGGGAUGAUUUUCAAUUUCAGGGGAAAGCAGCCUGUAUCUUUCUUGGGAUGAUUUUAGAUUUCAGAAAAAAAUUGCAACAUUUGAAUGGACCAUGGAAAUUGGACCAAAUCAUUCCUCAGAAGGAGACCACAAGAGAGGUGAACAAGGUUCAUGACGUGUUUAUUUACAGAUCUUAACAUUUGAGAAGCGAAGAUCCAUCAAAAGGGAUUCUCAGGAUGAUGAUGAUAAUGAUGAGGGAAAGAACCCUAAUUAAAUAGAAUAAUUCUAGCAGCAGGUGAUGGAGUCAGGAGUCGUGUUGAAACUUAAAGACUAGAGAAAGUUUUUUUUACAAAAUGAGAUUUAAGACAUUAUAAAUGAAAAGAUGUCCUUUCAUUAUUGCUUGGUCCUUUUUCACUUUUUCAACUUUAGUCUGUAAUGUUGUUGUUUAAGCAUAAAAAAGAUCUCCAAAGUUACAAAGCUCAAAGUCCAAUUUAAAAAUGAUAUUUUAUUUAACCUAAAAACUUUUCAAAAACUACAACGAAUGACUAGUUUGGACUACAAUGCAUAUUUUCCGGGAUUUGUGAUAUCACAAAUACCAAUGAAUGGGGUUAGACCUUGUUGAGCUGUUAUCACUAUGUUGCAGAUACACUAGCUUUCCCAAGGCAGAUGUAGUUGGAGUGGUUAUAAUCAUCCGGUUUUGAAUUGCGAAUUUUUUUUUUGAUUUGGCAAACAUUGAAACAUUGAAGUUUGCAGGUGUCUGUGGUAAGGGGCAUAACAUUUCCCGACCCGUUGAAAGGUGUCAAUCUCAACACACAUUGACCCAGCUAACCGAUCACAGCACAUUUUAUAUUUCAGAAGGCGGGCCUUCAUUUGAAAAGACGUGUAAAAAAUAAUGUUUUUAAACAACCUAU
rnacentral:lncRNA from 1 species